UAAUAUUUGCAAAAAAUUAAAUAAAAAUUAAGCAUAAUCAAAUGAAAUACUUUAAUGCAACUUUUUUUUAUAUAAAGAAUACAAAAAUAAAAAACUGAAAUUCCAAUUUUAAGUAGGGGAAUAUUCUUCCAAGGAGUGGCAUAAACUAUGAGUGAUCCACUCUAAAUGGCUAACCUUUUUCCCUCUCACAAUAGUUAAUGUCCAAUGGGGCACUUCCAACUUGUGUUCUAAAAGGGACGUCAAGGAGCCGUCUCGGCACAGUGCGCCACGAAAACGCCAAGCCAAGUCGCUUGGCACCUUACAUAGCGGUAAACAGCAAUUGUUGACUGUUAACACCAUUUGAAAUUAUUAAUGUCCAAAAUGGCAAUUAAUGUCCAAAACACCAUUUGAGGCGACAUUCAUUCAAUAAAUUGUUGGAAGGUUAACAUUUUAAGAUUGAAAUAUUAAAAGAGUUCAAACACGUAAUUUGAUCUAAUUAAAGUUUUGUUACACGUUUUUUAUAACGUAAAUAUACUGCAACCGUAUGAUGUCAAGUUUUAUAAUAUAACGACCAAAUACGGACGUUGAACUCACGGGUUUUGAAAUUCAAUUUCUUACUAAGUACCAUAAUUGUGUACCCUUUAUUUUAUCUAGACAAUAGAAAUUUGCAGUCAAUGGUUAUAACAAAAUCUAAUGAUGAAACGUGAUGAUGAAUUUAGCAAAUGAAUGUAAGUUUGAAAGAUUUUUCAAUAUGAGAAAGUCUAGAAUUUUGAUUUCACCUAACUAUUAAACAUGUUUGUCAAAUAUCUAAUUAUUUCUAAUUAAUUUUUUCAAGUUUAUAAGUAGAAACCCUAAUGUAAUCCUACCCUCUCUCUCUCUCGAGUGCCAAGUAAAAAACUAUUCCUAUAAUUCAAUUUUAACAUCUCUAUUCCGAAUUAAAUAUCUAGAUAUUAUCAAUUUUAUGGUUCUUAAGUGAAACAUACUUCAAAUUUUUUUUAUACUUUCUCUCAAAACCUAUGAAAUUUAGGUUGUUUUAUUAUAAGAUUACGCCUAAGUUUCCCUCUUUCGAGUGUCGAAACUUAAACAAUAAAUUUAUUCAAUUAAUUGCCAAGUAAUUGAAAGCAUUAAAAUCAAUAGCACGGAAUAAAGAAAAUGGAAAAUGUCAAGGAAAUAACAGCAUAAAAUUAAAACAUAAUCUAAAAUUGGAAGCAUGGAAACUAUCAAAUUUAUAAUAAACAAAAUAGAGAAGAAAUGAGAAAAACUAGUGUUGUAGAGAAUCAACCUUCUUCGCUUUGUUGAUCUUGACUUGCUCCUUGUCCUGUUGAAUUGUGUUUGAAAAGUGGCAUUUCAACUUGUAUUUAUAGGUUCUUUGAAUUCCCGAUGGAGUUGGAUUGUAACUGGCCUCUUAAUAGUAAAAAAAACUUGAAAAAAACUAGUGUUGUAGAGAAUCAACCUUCUUCGCUUUGUUGAUCUUGACUCGCUCCUUGUCCUGUUGAAUUGUGUUUGAAAAGUGGGAUUUCAACUUGUAUUUGUUCUUUGAAGUCCCGAUGGAGUUGGAUUGUAAUUGGCCUCUUAAUAGUAAAAAAAACUUGAAAAACCUACUGAUGACACAACGCCUAGGCACCCAAGAGCAGCACCUAGGCAUCACAAUGUGCGUCUAUGCUGGCACCUGGAUGCCAGCUUACUAGAUUAUUUUUUGUUUACGGGCACUCGGGAGCUC
rnacentral:lncRNA from 1 species